rnacentral:rRNA from 1 species
CUGCCCUCAGGAGGGGGAUAACGGCUGGAAACGGCCGCUAAUACCCCAUAUGCCGAGAGGUGAAAUGAAUUUCGCCUGAGGAUGAGCCCGCGUCUGAUUAGCUAGUUGGUGAGGUAAGAGCUCACCAAGGCAUCGAUCAGUAGCUGGUCUGAGAGGAUGAUCAGCCACACUGGGACUGAGACACGGCCCAGACUCCUACGGGAGGCAGCAGUGGGGAAUUUUCCGCAAUGGGCGAAAGCCUGACGGAGCAACGCCGCGUGAGGGAUGAAGGCCUCUGGGCUGUAAACCUCUUUUCUCAAGGAAGAAGAUCUGACGGUACUUGAGGAAUAAGCCACGGCUAAUUCCGUGCCAGCAGCCGCGGUAAUACGGGAGUGGCAAGCGUUAUCCGGAAUUAUUGGGCGUAAAGCGUCCGCAGGCGGCCCUUCAAGUCUGCUGUUAAAACGUGGAGCUUAACUCCAUCAUGGCAGUGGAAACUGUUGGGCUUGAGUGUGGUAGGGGCAGAGGGAAUUCCCGGUGUAGCGGUGAAAUGCGUAGAUAUCGGGAAGAACACCAGUGGCGAAGGCGCUCUGCUGGGCCAUCACUGACGCUCAUGGACGAAAGCCAGGGGAGCGAAAGGGAUUAGAUACCCCUGUAGUCCUGGCCGUAAACGAUGAACACUAGGUGUCGGGGGAAUCGACCCCCUCGGUGUCGUAGCCAACGCGUUAAGUGUUCCGCCUGGGGAGUACGCACGCAAGUGUGAAACUCAAAGGAAUUGACGGGGGCCCGCACAAGCGGUGGAGUAUGUGGUUUAAUUCGAUGCAACGCGAAGAACCUUACCAGGGUUUGACAUCCUGCGAACCUCUUGGAAACGAGAGGGUGCCUUCGGGAACGCAGUGACAGGUGGUGCAUGGCUGUCGUCAGCUCGUGUCGUGAGAUGUUGGGUUAAGUCCCGCAACGAGCGCAACCCACGUCUUUAGUUGCCAGCAUUUAGUUGGGCACUCUAGAGAGACCGCCGGUGAUAAACCGGAGGAAGGUGUGGAUGACGUCAAGUCAUCAUGCCCCUUACAUCCUGGGCUACACACGUACUACAAUGCUACGGACAAAGGGCAGCAAGUUCGCGAGGACAAGCAAAUCCCAUAAACCGUGGCUCAGUUCAGAUCGUAG